GGAAUAUUGGACAAUGGGCGCAAGCCUGAUCCAGCCAUGCCGCGUGAGUGAUGAAGGCCCUAGGGUUGUAAAGCUCUUUCACCGGUGAAGAUAAUGACGGUAACCGGAGAAGAAGCCCCGGCUAACUUCGUGCCAGCAGCCGCGGUAAUACGAAGGGGGCUAGCGUUGUUCGGAUUUACUGGGCGUAAAGCGCGUGUAGGCGGGCUGGAAAGUUGGGGGUGAAAUCCCGAGGCUCAACCUCGGAACUGCCUCCAAAACUUCCAGCCUGGACUCAAGCAGAGGCAAGUGGAAGUGCGAGUGUAGAGGUGAAAUUCGUAGAUAUUCGCAGGAACACCAGUGGCGAAGGCGACUUGCUGGGCUUGUAGUGACGCUGAGACGCGAAAGCGUGGGGAGCAAAC
rnacentral:rRNA from 1 species